rnacentral:rRNA from 1 species
AACGAACGCUGGCGGCAGGCUUAACACAUGCAAGUCGAACGCCCCGCAAGGGGAGUGGCAGACGGGUGAGUAACGCGUGGGAACGUACCUUUCGCUUCGGAAUAUUCCCGGGAAACUGGGAGCAAUGCCGAAUACGCCGUAUUGGGAAAGAUUUAUCGGCGAAAGAUCGGCCCGCGUUAGAUUAGGUAGUUGGCGGUGUAAUGGACCACCAAGCCUACGAUCUAUAGCUGGUCUGAGAGGAUGAUCAGCCACACUGGGACUGAGACACGGCCCAGACUCCUACGGGAGGCAGCAGUGGGGAAUCUUGGACAAUGGGCGCAAGCCUGAUCCAGCCAUGCCGCGUGAGUGAAGAAGGCCUUAGGGUUGUAAAACUCUUUCGCCGGAGAAGAUAAUGACGGUAUCCGGAGAAGAAGCCCGGCUAACUUCGUG